CGAACGGGUGAGUGACGCGUGAGGAACCUGCCUCAAAGAGGGGGACAACAGUUGGAAACGGCUGCUAAUACCGCAUAAGCCCACGGCUCGGCAUCGAGCAGAGGGAAAAGGAACAAUCCGCUUUGAGAUGGCCUCGCGUCCGAUUAGCUAGUUGGUGAGGUAACGGCCCACCAAGGCGACGAUCGGUAGCCGGACUGAGAGGUUGAACGGCCACAUUGGGACUGAGACACGGCCCAG
rnacentral:rRNA from 1 species